UUCUACCACAACAGUACUUAU
rnacentral:piRNA from 1 species